rnacentral:rRNA from 1 species
GAUGAACGCUGGCGGCGUGCUUAAUACAUGCAAGUCGAGCGAACAGACGAGGAGCUUGCUCCUCUGACGUUAGCGGCGGACGGGUGAGUAACACGUGGAUAACCUACCUAUAAGACUGGGAUAACUUCGGGAAACCGGAGCUAAUACCGGAUAAUAUAUUGAACCGCAUGGUUCAAUAGUGAAAGACGGUUUUGCUGUCACUUAUAGAUGGAUCCGCGCCGCAUUAGCUAGUUGGUAAGGUAACGGCUUACCAAGGCAACGAUGCGUAGCCGACCUGAGAGGGUGAUCGGCCACACUGGAACUGAGACACGGUCCAGACUCCUACGGGAGGCAGCAGUAGGGAAUCUUCCGCAAUGGGCGAAAGCCUGACGGAGCAACGCCGCGUGAGUGAUGAAGGUCUUCGGAUCGUAAAACUCUGUUAUUAGGGAAGAACAAAUGUGUAAGUAACUAUGCACGUCUUGACGGUACCUAAUCAGAAAGCCACGGCUAACUACGUG